rnacentral:pre_miRNA from 1 species
GAACUACUCCCUUCGUCCCAAAAUUCUUGUCUUAGAUUUGUCUAGAUAUGAAUGUAUCUAGUCACAUUUUAGUAUUUUGAUACAUCCAUUUCUAGACAAACCUAAGACAAUAAUUUUGGGACGGAGGGAGUACAUC